rnacentral:rRNA from 1 species
UCUUGGCAACGGAUAUCUCGGCUCUCGCAUCGAUGAAGAACGUAGCGAAAUGCGAUACCUGGUGUGAAUUGCAGAAUCCCGUGAACCAUUGAGUCUUUGAUCGCAAGUUACGCCCGAGACCAUCCGGCUAAGGGCACGAUUGCAUGGGCGUCACG